rnacentral:rRNA from 1 species
GUGCCAGCAGCCGCGGUAAUACGUAGGUGGCAAGCGUUAUCCGGAAUUAUUGGGCGUAAAGCGCGCGUAGGCGGUUUUUUAAGUCUGAUGUGAAAGCCCACGGCUCAACCGUGGAGGGUCAUUGGAAACUGGAGAACUUGAGUGCAGAAGAGGAAAGUGGAAUUCCAUGUGUAGCGGUGAAAUGCGCAGAGAUAUGGAGGAACACCAGUGGCGAAGGCGACUUUCUGGUCUGUAACUGACGCUGAUGUGCGAAAGCGUGNGGGAUCAAACAGGAUUAGAUANCNUGGUAGUNCAGGGCG